UACAGAGGUCCCGAGCGUUGUUCGGAUUCACUGGGCGUAAAGGGUGCGUAGGUGGUGGGGUAAGUCUGGUGUGAAAGCUCGCAGCUCAACUGCGAAACGGCACUGGAAACUACCCUGCUGGAGGGUUGGAGGGGGGACUGGAAUACUUGGUGUAGAGGUGAAAUUCGUAGAUAUCAAGCGGAACACCGGUGGCGAAGGCGGCCUUCUGGACAGUGACUGACGCUGAGACGCGAAAGCGUGGGGAGCAAACAGG
rnacentral:rRNA from 1 species